CAAAGUCGUUUCUGGAUCGACUCUGGAUGUAGAAUUCCACCAUCCCCUCCAGGAAUCUACCAAGAGGCAGUCUUCCUGACCACUGAGGGAUUAUCACAACCAGACG